rnacentral:rRNA from 1 species
GCGUGUGUGCUGGUAUGAGUCUUCCAUCCUUCUAGAGAGCCACGCCUGCUGUUCACUCAGCUGGGCGUGUGCGAUCUAGAUCAUUUACUUUGAAAAAAUUAGAGUGUUUAAAGCAGGCUUAUGCCCGAAUACAUUAGCAUGGAAUAAUAAAAUAGGACUUCGGUUCUAUUUUGUUGGUUUCUAGAACUGAAGUAAUGAUUGAUAGGGAUAGUUGGGGGUGCUAGUAUUCAGUGGCCAGAGGUGAAAUUCUUGGAUUCACUGAAGACUAACUACUGCGAAAGCAUUUGCCAAGAAUGUUUUCAUUAAUCAAGAACGAAAGUUAGAGGUUCGAAGGCGAUCAGAUACCGCCCUAGUUCUAACCAUAAACGAUGCCAACCAGCAAUCAGCCUGUGUUCUCUUGAUGACACGGCUGGCGGCUUCCGGGAAACCAAAGUCUUUCGGUUCCAGGGGAAGUAUGGUUGCAAAGCUGAAACUUAAAGGAAUUGACGGAAGGGCACCACCAGGAGUGGAGCCUGCGGUUUAAUUUGACUCAACACGGGGAAACUCACCCGGCCCGGACACUGUGAGGAUUGACAGGUUGAAGCCCUUUCUUGAUUCAGUGGGUGGUGGUGCAUGGCCGUUCUUAGUUGGUGGAGUGAUUUGUCUGGUUAAUUCCGAUAACGAACGAGACUCUAGCCUACUAAUUAGACCGUGGCGUCCUCGUGCCGCCACGGCGCUUCCUAGAGGGACAGACGG